CCAAAAGAAGAGCAAACAAAACAGACACGGUUUUACAGGCAAAACGCAAUACAGUCGCUGCUUCCUAAAACGGGAAGGAAAGCCGAC